GACGAACGCUGGCGGCGUGCCUAAUACAUGCAAGUUGAGCGCUGAAGGUUGGUCCUUGUACCAACUGGAUGAGCAGCGAACGGGUGAGUAACGCGUGGGGAAUCUGCCUUUGAGCGGGGGACAACAUUUGGAAACGAAUGCUAAUACCGCAUAAAAACUUUAAACACAAGUUUUAAGUUUGAAAGAUGCAAUUGCAUCACUCAAAGAUGAUCCCGCGUUGUAUUAGCUAGUUGGUGAGGUAAAGGCUCACCAAGGCGAUGAUACAUAGCCGACCUGAGAGGGUGAUCGGCCACAUUGGGACUGAGACACGGCCCAAACUCCUACGGGAGGCAGCAGUAGGGAAUCUUCGGCAAUGGACGAAAGUCUGAACGAGCAACGCCGCGGGAGUGAAGGAGGUUUUCGGAUCGUAAAACUCUGUUGGUAGAGAAGAACGUUGGUGAGAGUGGAAAGCUCAUCAAGUGACGGUAACUACCCAGAAAGGGACGGCUAACUACGUG
rnacentral:rRNA from 1 species